GACGAACGCUGGCGGCGUGCCUAAUACAUGCAAGUCGAACGAACCGCGACUAAGUGCUUGCACUCAGUCAAGGUGAGUGGCGAACGGGUGAGUAACACGUGGGUAACCUACCUCAUAGUGGGGGAUAACAGUCGGAAACGACUGCUAAUACCGCAUAGGACAUAGGCUCACAUGAUCCAGUGAGGAAAGGUGGCGCAAGCUAUCGCUAAGAGAUGGACCCGCGGUGCAUUAGCUAGUUGGUAGGGUAAAGGCCUACCAAGGCGAUGAUGCAUAGCCGACCUGAGAGGGUGAUCGGCCACAUUGGGACUGAGACACGGCCCAAACUCCUACGGGAGGCAGCAGUAGGGAAUCUUCCGCAAUGGACGCAAGUCUGACGGAGCAACGCCGCGUGAGUGAAGAAGGUCUUCGGAUCGUAAAGCUCUGUUGUUAGAGAAGAACAGCGAAUAGAGUAACUGCUAUGCGUGUGACGGUAGCUAACCAGAAAGCCACGGCUAACUACGUG
rnacentral:rRNA from 1 species